UGGCUCAGGAUGAACGCUAGCGGCAGGCCUAAUACAUGCAAGUCGAACGGGAUUGAGAGCUUGCUUUCAUGAGAGUGGCGUACGGGUGCGUAACGCGUAUGCAACCUACCUUCAUCAGGGGGAUAGCCCGAAGAAAUUCGGAUUAACACCGCAUAAAAACACAGCUUGGCAUCAAGCAAUGUUCAAAUAUUUAUAGGAUGAAGAUGGGCAUGCGUGUCAUUAGCUAGUUGGUAAGGUAACGGCUUACCAAGGCUACGAUGACUAGGGGAUCUGAGAGGAUGACCCCCCACACUGGUACUGAGACACGGACCAGACUCCUACGGGAGGCAGCAGUAAGGAAUAUUGGUCAAUGGAGGCAACUCUGAACCAGCCAUGCCGCGUGCAGGAAGACUGCCUUAUGGGUUGUAAACUGCUUUUAUACGGGAAUAAACCUUAAUUCGUGAAUUAAGCUGAAUGUACCGUAAGAAUAAGGAUCGGCUAACUCCGUGCCAGCAGCCGCGGUAAUACGGAGGAUCCAAGCGUUAUCCGGAUUUAUUGGGUUUAAAGGGAGCGUAGGCGGCUUGUUAAGUCAGGGGUGAAAGACGGUGGCUCAACCAUCGCAGUGCCUUUGAUACUGACGAGCUUGAAUAUAGUUGAGGUAGGCGGAAUGUGACAAGUAGCGGUGAAAUGCAUAGAUAUGUCACAGAACACCGAUUGCGAAGGCAGCUUACUAAGCUAUUAUUGACGCUGAGGCUCGAAAGCGUGGGGAUCAAACAGGAUUAGAUACCCUGGUAGUCCACGCCCUAAACGAUGAUAACUCGAUGUUGGCGAUAUACAGUCAGCGUCCAAGCGAAAGCGUUAAGUUAUCCACCUGGGGAGUACGCCCGCAAGGGUGAAACUCAAAGGAAUUGACGG
rnacentral:rRNA from 1 species